CCUACGGGGGGCAGCAGUGGGGAAUAUUGGACAAUGGGCGAAAGCCUGAUCCAGCCAUGCCGCGUGUGUGAAGAAGGCCUUCGGGUUGUAAAGCACUUUCAGUGGGGAAGAAAGCCUUGGGGCUAAUACCCUCGAGGAAGGACAUCACCCACAGAAGAAGCACCGGCUAACUCCGUGCCAGCAGCCGCGGUAAUACGGAGGGUGCGAGCGUUAAUCGGAAUUACUGGGCGUAAAGCGCGCGUAGGCGGUCUGAUAAGCCGGUUGUGAAAGCCCCGGGCUCAACCUGGGAACGGCAUCCGGAACUGUCAGGCUAGAGUGCAGGAGAGGAAGGUAGAAUUCCCGGUGUAGCAGUGAAAUGCGUAGAGAUCGGGAGGAAUACCAGUGGUGAAGGCGGCCUUCUGGACUGACACUGACGCUGAGGUGCGAAAGCGUGGGUAGCAAACAGGAUUAGAUACCCGUGUAGUC
rnacentral:rRNA from 1 species